rnacentral:lncRNA from 1 species
GGGACAGCAGCGCCGCCGCCGUGACAGACGGGCUCCUUCCCUUUUCCGGCCCAACGGCUCAACAACCACGCCGCCUCCUUUCUUCCAGAUCCGGCACCCCCUCUCUUUCUCGGCCGGCAGAAACGGCCGUCGUAGCCGCCACCGUGACCGGCAGCAGCAGAUGGCAGGCCGCCGUCUCCUCAGCUUCUCCUUUUCCGGCUCACCAACAGGCCUCUCACCCAAAAACACCUCAAACCCCUCCCAUCUCCUUCUAGUUUCUAAUUUCUUUUCAUA